rnacentral:rRNA from 1 species
UACGUAGGGUGCAAGCGUUGUCCGGAAUUAUUGGGCGUAAAGAGCUCGUAGGCGGUCUGUCGCGUCGAAUGUGAAAACCCGGGGCUCAACCCCGGGCCUGCAUUCGAUACGGGCAGACUAGAGUUCGGUAGGGGAGUCUGGAAUUCCUGAUGUAGCGGUGAAAUGCGCAGAUAUCAGGAGGAACACCGGUGGCGAAGGCGGGACUCUGGGCCGAUACUGACGCUGAGGAGCGAAAGCGUGGGGAGCGAACAGG